rnacentral:tRNA from 1 species
AGUUUUAUAUUUAAAGUUAAUAAUAUUAAAUUGCAAAUUUAAAGUUGAAUUUAUAUUCUAAAGCUU